GAGAGAGAGAGAGAGAGAGUGUAGUAAAAAUGAUACAUCAAGAAAAAAAAUCCAAAACCCAGGCCCAACACUGUACACAUGAAUAGUAUUUUGGACGACGAAAAAUAGUAUAUUGUAUAAUAGACCGCAUAUAAAUUCUACAUUUUUUUCGUUGCUAUAAUAUACUAGUUCAUUGGGGAUAGUAAAUUUUUGAUUUUCAUGAAAAAAAAAAAAGAGAAAAAGACUAUUUGCACAAAAUAAAAAAAAGUCAAACCUCAUUUCAAUGAUAAUCUUUUUUCUUAGCCUAUUUAAAUACAAGGUACUUCUUUUGUGCCCAAAUACAUAAGUUUUUAAUAAAAUGAUAUUUUAAAAGACUUUUUUACCCUUGACUUUUAUUUAAAGAGAAAAAAUGAAAAAGAAGAAGGGAAGACUUUCCCGGAAGCACACCGGACACCGGCGCCAGUCGCCAAUCACCGGAUUUUGGUCGCCGAACACCGGUUGCCGGAUUCCGGUCACCGGACACUGGCCGCCGGAUUCCGGUCACCGGUCACUGGAAAAUUGAUGGUGACCUAAAAAUCGCCAGAGACGCCGGAGUCUCACUGGAUUUUUUUGAAAAAAAUGUCACCGGAACCCACCGGAUCUUGCCAGAAGCAUACCGGCAAAAAAAUAAAGUUUACUACCCCUAGUAAACUUUUACUUGGGGGUAGUAAACUUGCGAAACAGUAGCCCCAAUGCCAUAAUUCACAUUCAAACGGAGAAAAAUCAACUUACAUGCGAAAAAAUAAAGUUUACUAGCCCUAGUAAAUUUUUACUGAGGGUAGUAAACUUGCAAAACAGUAGCUCCAAUGCCAUAAUUCAUAUUUAAAAGGUGAAAAAUCAACUUAGAUGCGAAAAAUGAAAUUUACUACCCCUAGUAAACUUUUACUAGUAAACUUUUACUGGGGGUUACUACCUUGCAAAACAGUAGCUCCAAUGUCAUUAUAUACAUUAAAACAAUGAAAAAUCAACUUAAAUGUGAAAAAAUAAAGUUUACUACCCCUAGUAAACUUGCAAUACAAUAUUUUUCUAGUCAGUAUAUACAUUAAAACACAAAAAAAAAGCAACUUAGAUGCGGACAAAUAAAGUUUACUACCCCUAUAAAACUUCUACUAGGGGUAGUAAAUCUGCGAUACAAUAUUUCCCAGGUCAGUAUACACUUUAAAGCAACAAAAACCCAACUUAUAUGCGAAAAAUUAAAGUUUACUACCCCUAGUAAACUUCUACUGGGGGUAGUAAACAUGCAAUACAAUAUCUCCAUAAAUUCACAUUUCUAAAGUAAACUCCAUACCACAAAAUAGAAAUUACAAACAUCAUAACCAAAUUAAAGACAACUCCAAACCUCGGCGUCAAUUGCCGCGAGGAGUCCCGUAUCGAUCUUCAACCGCGUCGUUGUUCAUCUCUCCUCUGAACUUCAGCCAAACGAGAUGCUCUGAAUUGAAGCCGAGGAAGGGGAAGCAUUGAUCGGAGGCGGCCGUACUAAGUGACGGAGAUCGGCAAGCUCGGUUCGCAUCGCCUAGAGGUGGCUUGGAGAUCGGAGCUCAGGUUUCGGCUCGCAUCGAAGACUGCUGCUACCUUCUCACAGAUCUGGUUACUUCGAGGUCGAGGUAGAGGAAGCCAACUGGUGAAAUCAACCGGGUUGAUGGCGGCGGUGACGACAGAUGAGAGCAGAGGGAAGCGUCAAUUUGGAAGAGGAGGAGCCGAGACCUUUGGUCAGUGAUGGACGUCAUCUGUGACGUUGUUGACGCGAUCGAGAGAAGAGAGAGCCCGAUAAGAGAUGAGAAUGAGAGGUGGGAGAAGCAGAAGACAAUGUAGGGUUUUUAUUAGAUUAGGGUAUAUUUGUCAUUUUAUCUUGAAUAAUUAGAAUGGGCAAUUAAAUCUUAUUUUCAUUGGACCGGGCCAAAACUUCCUAAAAUUAGUAAUAAAUAGGCAUUUGCUCAAAAAAAAAACACACAUGUUGAAAACAUCAAAACACCAAAAAAUAGAAACGUUCAUGUGUCUAAUGGUAAAUUGAUUCGCUAAACAAUAAAUUUAACAAAUAAGAAUAAGGCAUUACAACAAUAUCAUUAAGAUUAUAAAAGAACCGGUAAAAUAAAAACAUUUAGACCCUGAACCGGUAAAAUAAAAACAUGUUGUAAGGAGACAUCACUGUCCGCAACAACUUUGACGGUCUGAAGGGAUUUUCUUGCUAAAAACGAAAAAUCAAAAAGUCCGUGAAAAGGCCUUAGAAAAACAAGGAUCCGCAGGUUGAGAUAUAAAGUGGUGAGACUUGAGAGACUCUCCUUGUGAUUUCUUUCAUUUUCCUCCCUCCUUUUUCUUGCGUGUCAAGUCCCCCAUUCACCUAAAUCACUCUCCUCUCCCUAAUCAAACCCUAACAAAUCCCCCAGAAUCCCAAAUCCUCCAAAUUCCAAAAUCCCAACCCAUUCCGCAUUAGAACUCGCAUACCUCACGAUGAAGCAAACACACACAGUUUGAAUCGCUUUCGGAUUCCGUUUUCUAAUUUUGAUCGCGAGGGAGAUGUGAUUCGAUUCUAGGGUUUUCGCGAAGGAGAUGGUCAGAGAUGAGUCGCGGAGGAGAGGGAGAAGCUUUGGCGGACGCGCAGGCGGUGGUGGCGGUGAAGAAGAAGUCGUCUCGGAGCUGGGUGUUGCUGGACGCGACGGGACAGGCGACGGUGCUCGAUGUCGACAAGUAUGCUAUCAUGCAUAGGGUUCACAUUCACGCCAGGGACCUUCGCAUUGUCGAUCCUCUGCUCUCUUAUCCUUCCGCCAUUCUCGGCCGUGACAGGGCCAUUGUUCUCAAUCUGGAGGUAUAAAUUUGUUAGGUUUUCGGUUUCGAAGAUUUUAUAGUGAUGUGUUUUGAAUGUUUGGCUGAUCUUUGUGUUUGUUUGUUUGAUUUUGCAGCAUAUUAAAGCUAUAAUUACUGCUGAGGAGGUCAGCCCUUUUUUUUUCUCUCGGAAUUUAACAUCUUUUUUACUGUUUUCGGCUGAAUUUGAUGUGUUGAUUUGGGAGGAAGUACUGGUGUAGCUUGUGCAGUUAAUCUACUAUUAUUUGGGGAAAUUAGUGAGGCGAAAAAGCUGCUUAGAUUGUCUGAAGAGGAAUAGAAAGUGUGUGUUUACUGUAAAGUUCAAUGCAUGUUUUAUACUGUAUGUGUUGUGGGGAGAAUAUGUUAUGUGGUGUGCUUUAGAGUUUCGGUGAGUUAAGGCGCUUUUGCAGAUGAUGGAUUUUUUUUAUUUUUUAUGUGUGUGUGUGGAUAUAGGUGCUGCUGCGGGAUCCGUUGGAUGAAAAUGUUAUACCUGUUGUGGAAGAGCUUCAAAGACGGUUGCCGCCUGGGAAUUACAUUCGUGAAAAUCAAACGGAUGGGAAAGAGUUCCCUGCUGGGCAAAAUGAUGUUGAUGCAGGCGAAGAAGAUGGUAUGAUGUUGUAAUUUUAAGUUUAUCACUUCAGGAGCAGUGUCUGGCUUUAGUGCCUGUAGUUAUAUGCAUAUCCUUUUUGCACCUGUCGCUUCGGUCUGAAUUCUUUUUGGAGUUUACGUCCCACUGAUCUAAAUUAUCUGAUGUAGAGUCUCCAUUUGAAUUCCGGGCCUUGGAGGUAGCAUUGGAAGCAAUUUGUAGUUUUCUUGCUGCACGUACGACAGAACUGGAGACUGCUGCUUAUCCGGCUCUAGAUGAGCUUACCUCUAAGGUAGGGCAUAACUUGUUUCUCUGUUUCUUUUCUACUUUGUGCAUGUAUGUAUCCGUUUGGGGCUAAACGGGCAUAAAAAAUGGGAAACAAACAAAAGAGUGCAAGGAACAAAAUUACAGUAUCUCCUACACUUGUAGGUUACUUCAGGAUAUCAAACUGAUUGUAGCUCAUAGAUAGAUUUAGGCCCUCAGUUGUCAGAUAUGGUUUAUCAGCAACUUUACUGAAAACACAAGAUGGCGAGUUCCAGGGACUGUUAUAUCUGCAGUUUGUGUUAAUUGUUCUUUAAAAAAGAAAAAGAAAAAAAUAAAAGAAAAGAAAUCCAAAUAUCAUGCUUGAGUUUUUGUUGAAUUUUGGUAUCCUCUUGCUUUGCAUUCUUAUGGCGGAGCUGGUUUCGCUUCAGGGGAUUUCUGGCUACCAUACUUGCCUCAAUAGUUUUGAGAACUUACUAUUGUACUGAGAGUAUGUUUAUCUCACAUGAUCUUCUAUAAGAAAAAAGUAGUUGCUCAGUUUUUUUCUCCUUCUGAGUUGACAAAAUUAUAUACAUUUGUUCAUUUUGGUUACCUAUUUUUGCUAUUUGAAUUUGUUCUAUGAAAUUUGCUUCUUCCGCAGAUUUGUAAUCCAUUUCAAUCUGCAGAUUAGUAGCCGCAAUUUGGAUAGGGUUCGUAAACUGAAAAGUGCAAUGACGAGGUUGACUGCACGGGUACAAAAGGUAUGCAUCUUCCUCUUGUCUGUGAAGGGUUGUUUGAUAGUUCAUCUCUAAUAUGUGUGUGAUUGAUUUUAAAUGCAAUCACUAAAGGAUGUUAACUUCAAAUAUUAGCUUUUACAAAAUCCCAUUUUCAGCUUCAGUGGGGACAUUAAAGAUCUUUAAGAGUAUAGCUGAUGGAGUUUUUGAAAUACGCUGAUCACUUAUGCUUCAAAAAGCGCUUUUGUGAUACCCCAGGAUUUGUGCAUCAUGACCACCGAAGCUUGCAGUCUAAGUUAGUUGCCUUAGAAAUGGAGUUUCCUGUUUUUAUUUAUGUCUGUUAGCCACAUUCUUUUUGGUGGUGUACCUUAUAUUAUAUUUGCUGACAAUUUAUCAGAAUGACUUUUUAGUGUGGGGUAGAAACCAAUUUUCAUGAUUAGAGUAUGAUUAAAGACAGCCUCUGCUAGCGCCCUCUUUACACCUGCAUACCAAGGCACGAGGUAAUCCCUGUAGUAUCUAUUUGUAGGUGAGGGAUGAGCUGGAGCAGCUGCUGGAUGAUGAUGAUGAUAUGGCCGACCUUUACUUGUCAAGAAAGUUGGCAGGUGCAUGUUCACCGGUUAGUGCCUCUGGUCCUGCCGGUUGGUAUCCUGCCUCCCCUACCAUAGGCUCAAAAAUAUCACGGGCAAGUAGAGCAAGUAUUCUAACUGUCCGUGGAGAUGAGAAUGACGUUGAGGAACUUGAAAUGUUACUUGAGGUAUGAUGACAUUGAUAUACUUUUCAUGUCUUGGAUUUUACUGAAAUCUAAAUACUAAAUUGCUUACUAAUACCUGUGCAGGCUUACUUUAUGCAGAUUGAUGGCACCUUGAACAAGUUAGCUACGGUAAGCUUAUCAUUCUUUUUGGCUUACAAGGAGAUUGUACCUAGUAUCUAUCCUUCAUCCCAUUCUACCCAAUGCCUCAUGGAGGUCCUUGGGCAGGCAGAUGUAAAAGAACACGUAGUGGCCUGAGGAUGGGAUGUUUCCAUUUGCUUUGGUACAAGAGUAGGGUUAUUGACAUUAAGUUUAACGAACCGGAAACAGAAAGUUGAAACACUCAAGUGACACAACCCUAUACAAUCUUAAUUUAUUCAUAUCCAUGACAACCUUAACCAUUCUAUCCGAAAUUUUGCAGCUGCGUGAAUAUAUUGAUGAUACAGAGGAUUACAUAAAUAUUCAGGUACUUGAUUUUUUAUCUUUAAUUGCUUUGGCAAGUACCAUAGAACUUUACGCAUUAUAUUUAUGUUUUUGAUCUUAAUUGUGCCUUCCAUAUUUCAGCUUGAUAACCACAGGAAUCAGUUAAUUCAGGUGCUUUAUUCUUCUUAUUUAGUGUUUUUGUUUCUCUACUACACUGGUUUCGUUUCUUCAUACUUGCUUUCUCUUUGCUUGCUUAAUCUGGAGUUGGAGUUGUUGCUUAUGACAUUAAGUUCUACUCUCUUGAUUAUUCGUGGUGCAGCUUGAGCUUUUUCUUAGUUCUGGAACUGUUAGUUUAUCCAUAUAUUCUUUGGUGGGUGGAAUUUUCGGCAUGAAUAUCCCAUAUACGUGGAACGAGGGUCAUGGAUACAUGUUUAAAUGGGUACGCACAUUAUUUCCUCUGGUAAUCGUGGCUAGUAUAAGUGUGAUAUGUGGCUGAGAAUUGAUCUUUUUGAAUUGACAGGUUUGCAUUGUCACAGGAAUAGUAUGUUUCUUUGUUUUCAUAGUAAUUGUAGCAUACGCUCGCCACAAAGGGUUGGUUGGAUCGUGAACUUGGUAAAUAAAGUUUUUGCUGAUAGCAAGGAGUUCGAGAUUUAUUGAUUUAGGUCUUGUCAUGUGGAUGAACACAAAAUUGGGUGUCAAGGCUUUCAGGUAAUGAAGGAACUAUAAUCUCUUGCUGAGUUUUGGUGAUUUAGUACUGCCCGUAAUGGCUUCUGUGGUUAACAAGGCUAAGUCUGACUAUGGGAAUUUUAGAUUAGAAAUCCCAAGGAUGUGCAAUUUCGUUGAUUGUUGACAACCUUAUUAACAAGAUUCACCUCGCCAGUACUGGCUGUAAAACAUUUUUUUUUUAUUUUAGUCCAUAGUUUUUGUUCUGGUUACACAUGUAUUUGUUCUAACAAGUAUAUUCUUUGAAUCACCUGUCAUAUCGGUUGCCGCCAAUUCGUGCAAUUGUGGUGCAAGGCGAAUCUUACAUCUCAGAAACAAUAAGUAGUCUCAUUUAUCUCAUGCUUUUCCCAAAUAGAAACCAAUAGAAGAGCAAACUACAAUCAUGAACCGUGAUUGACAUAGAAAGCUAAACCAAGAUGGCGUGACCCUGAUCACCCAUUUUGAACAGAUUUGAAAGAGAAUUAUGGAGCUGCCUUGAAGCAAACUUCUGCCUUCGGGUCUGAACUCCAUCUUCAUAAUUGGCAAACAACCAGUUUUACAAAGUGCUCACUACAGUGAAUGGACACGCAGAAUAACCAUCAUAGAUUCUCCGAGCAAGAUAACUUAGUCCGGAUACCUGCAUUGGCAUAUGAAAACUCAUAUUUAUUGGUUUAAAAGUGGUAGGAUUGUUGUGUUGGUAACUUAAUAGGUUAGAAGCAUUUCAUCCUGCAAUUUUGAGGAUGUGAGUUGGAACCCCUCCACUAUCACUUCUUAAAACAAAAUCGUGAAGCCUAAUCCGUUACUUGCUUACGUUCUUAAUAUGUGGCAAAAUUUGAGUGGAAAGAUAUACGUUGCGUGCAGCUAUUAUACACAUUUUUUUGACUGAGAUCCAACACGUGAUAAAAAUAAAAUGAUUCUUUUUUUAGAAUUGAGAAUGGUUGGUCGACAAGAGUGUGGAUUGAUUGUCAGAAUCCACGAAAAACAUGCAUUUUUGCAAGAGAUUUAAUUAUUAUCCUCAUUAGUUCAUAUGUGCGUCACAUGUAGCUACAUGCACUAAAUACACGUAGCAGUCUGUUUCGCGCAGAAAAUCGUUUAUAUAUGCUCAGCAGCAACAACAUAGAAAAUAACGAGAGACGAAAGAGCGAUAGAAGAGCAAAAGAAAGAGUGCAAAUCACGUGAAGAUGGAUUUCAAUCUCGAAGGCAUAUAAGAAAUUGAUCAAAAUUCAGGUAUGCAAUCCGGAUCUCUUCUUUUUCAUGUCUAUAGUAUGAUGCACUAAGAUUAAGAUACCAAAAUGGUGAAAAUUCAUGAAACAAUUCAGAUCCAUAAUGUUAAAAACUCAUCAAACAUGAUUGUCUUCUCUGUCAUUACCAAUUCGUUGAAAAAAUUAGCACAAUCACUGGAGAUCGAUUAAGUGUUAUAUUCAUUGAUUAUAUAUACCCCCUUCUUGUUGUAGUUAGAAUUACAGGAAAUCAAUCACAAAUAUAUGAAUUUUAGGCUGAACCAAAUCUGAAUCAGCCUUAUUUUCCCUUAGUUGGUGAGAUGAGAUGAGAGCAUCUUGAGACAUUCUCUUCAUCUCGAGUCUUGAAGCAGAUUUUUUUGGGUAAUAGUCUUGAAGCAGAUAGAGGCUGAGAAUUUUGAGUUAGUGACCUGUCACUGGUCAAGCACAACUGUCUGCAUGUCAAGAAACGGUUACAUUGAAACUGCCAAAAGUUUAAACGACCCAAUUUCCAUCCUAGAACAAUUUGGGUCUUCUUAUUUUGUCGACAUAUGUUUUCUUUUUCAACAAAAUUCUUUGAUGGAAUUGACCACAUAUAACUUGUGCUUUGUAAUUGACCAAAAAAAAAACCACUUGUGCUUUGUAAAUGGGGGUCGUUUAUUUUUCAAUAUUAUGCAUAAAAUUGACCUUUAUUAUGACGGAAUGUCUCAAUACAACAUUUUUAAACAUUUCAUCUCAUAAAAAUAAAUUUCAGAUUUUAUCGCUAUUAAUUUGGUCGAAAACUUAACUCAAUUGAGCUAAACAAAAUUUUGAUUUGUUUUCUAACGCACUCAACUUUUAGCCGAACUUACCAAAAACUCAAGUGAAUGAGGCAUGAGCGCUUCCCUCCUCCAAACCCUAAAACUCAAUUCACAAGAACAAAGCUUAAUUACUCCCCAUCGAAGUCACACGCAUCAUGGACAAUUACUGCAAUUCUCUCAUUCUAGGUGACAAGGAUAUUUCAUUGCGUGACACAUAAUGUAACACAUUUACAUUUUCGUUUCCCUCUACUGUUUCUACUAAUCCUUCUGUUUUGUUUUUUUGCCUCUUAGAAGCUCCAAUUUACAAAUGAAAUUGACUCAUUAGAGACAAGGAUAGUCGUGGUUCUCAAAGUUUCACACUCAAAACUCUGAUUCUUUGACGUGCAAUAUCCACAUCAAUAGAUAACACAUCACAUGCAAAAUACACACGACUUUUGCAUUAUCUUAUGUAGUUCAUAACCCUCAUCGCACAAUCCAACAUCUUUGAGGAUUUGAGUCACUUUGACUUCGCAGAAAGACAAAGAAAGCAAACUUUGAGGAAGAAAAGACAACCUUCUCGUUUUCUUUGUUUUUUCUUGGCUCUGUUGGAAAUUAGGAAUAACCAAAAAAAAAAACCUUUGCGCAGUUUAAGCCAAAGCCUUUGAUUCUUUUAUGCUUUUACAUAUAUGGGUUUUUUGUUCCUUCUAUAUUAGUGUUUUUCACAUUUAUGUGUGCGUUUUGUAUAAUCUAGAGGUGAUGUAUUUGUAGCUGUUUGGAGCCUCGAACAGAUCAUCAAACCCUAUCUCUCCCUAAUCGUUGUCCAAAUCGAAACAAGAAUCCCAAUCCCUCCCCCUUAAUCCCAUUCUUUUUCUUCAUCAACAGUCAAAAGAUCAAGGAUCCCAUAUGGGUUCUUGAGGUUUCUUGAUUCUAAUUGGUGACAUGCACCAGGUGCUUACGUGAAUGAAAGCAGAGUGUUGUGUUUUUGAAACAAGAUAAUGAUGACCAUUAGCAGCAACCAUGUUGUGAAAGUUAAGAGGGAGAAGCUUGAAGCAUGCAUGACAUGCCCUGUAUGCAAUGAGCUGUUCAGAGAAGCCACAACUAUUUCUGAAUGUCUUCAUACAUGUAAGUCUUUCUUUCUUUCCAUCUCUGCUCUUUUGGGAUCUGAUUGUUCAUGUGUUCUGUGCGUGUUGUGUGCUCAUUUUGUUGAUAUGGGUGCUUUGUUUUUACGUAAAUUCAUAUUCUUUUUCUUGUUUUCUGGUCUGGGUUUAUCGAAAUUUACGUUUUCAUCAUCUGGAUUCUGGGUCCUUUUCAAUUUGCAAGGUUGGUUGUUUUCCUAUUUUGGACUUUUGCUAUAUGGUAAUGUGAAGUGUGUGUGUGUACCGUAUAUUGUUGGCUCUUGGUAUACAAGUCCUACUAUGCCAUUUAUGCCUGAUUGGCCUUUCUUUCACCUAGUGUUGGUAACUGUAAUGAUUAAAAUUCCUGUCUAUGAUACAAUGGACAUAAGCUUAUAUGCUUCUUUACUCACUGCUACCCUAAACUCUUGGUCUUUUUCCAAUUGUCGCUGAAGUAUAUGGCUAUCAUCUGUAUUAGAUGCCUCACAGAUAGUGUAACAGCAAUGCUGCUCUUGAUAAUGUUUUUUCUAUGAUUCAAUGUGACUGACUUGGUUAUUGUUUCUGGGAACAGUUUGCAAGAGGUGCAUAUACGACAAAAUAAUCAAUGAAGAUUGUGAUAGAUGUCCGGUAUGCAAGACAGAUUUAGGGGUUGCUCCAAUGGAAAAGCUCAGGUAGUUUAAUCAUCUACAUAUCGUAUGUUUAUAGAUUAGCUGGAUGCUCAGAUAAUGCAUUAGCGUAUAUUAUCCCAAGCAAGAAAAAAGAAAAAAGAAAAAAGAAAAAAAAAGGAGUAUUCUGUAAAACAUUCCAAUAUGAGUUUAAAAUCAUCAACUCUGCCCUUAUGCUGCUAUCCUUUAUUGAUUCAUUGCUUGUUUGGUCAAUAAAAGGUAUAAUGAAUUUGUCAUUCCCUAAUGUUCUUGGUGCAGCAUUAGGCUUAUAACAAGCUUACACUUAUGAUUUCGGCACUACAGCAGUUUUUGUAACCUCAUAACACAUUUCUGGCAUAAUGUAUAAAUCUUAUGUUGAUUCUAUUACUAUCUGACCUCCCUCCUCAUAGCUAUUAAAUACCUAGCCUUCUUUUCUAAAUUUGUAGAUAUCAUCAAUUGUUAUAAUAAUUUCAUCAGAUGUGUGCCAGUAUAUUAACCACAAAGUUAUGCUAAAAGGACCAAGCCAUGGUUGCAUAUUAGUGUUAUGUUUCUUCAGUUCUGUAAUUUCUCUUCGGUCUGCAGGGCUGACAAUAGUCUGGAAGACAUAAGGGCUAAGAUCUUCCCUUCUGAAAGUAAAAAGCUCAAGGCACGAGUAGCAGACCACAAUCUGCAAGUUGUAGACUCUGAGAAGGUAUUGCCUUCCGAAACAAGAAAUGCCAAGACAACUGACGUUGGUUUGCCCUCCAUAUAUUCAUCAGGGAGAAAAAAACAGAGAUUCCUCUCUUCAUUAGGAACAAGCACAACUACAGCUACAACGAGUGGAAAACGGUAUUUUACUAGAAAGAGUUCAGUUCAACAUGAGAGUCAUCUUUUGACUCGAGAAGAACUUGUUCCCAAACAUGAAAAGUUUCCAGAGAGGAUCAAAUCAUCCGAGAACCUUAGAGAAUAUUCAACAUAUGCCAGACAGGUUAAUAAAAAGAAAACAAAUUGAUUUAAUGGUUUUGCUUGUCCUUUUUGUUGUUCUUAAAAUAUGUUACAUUUCUAUCUUUUGUUGCAGAAUGCUACUGAGAAGUUGUUUAAGAAAGACGAGGUGAACAAUGACAUCAUGAACAAAGCACAACCAAGAUGGACAACUGGUCUGAUGGAAACUGAAAGAGAAGAUGCAAGAGUGCUAAGAAAGCAAGUGUUCUUAAACCUCAACAAUGAACCAGAAGAGCUUAAUACCUUUCAGGAACAUGGCAAUAAUAAUGAAUCUAUUCCUGCACCAUUAGGUUCACUGCCAAUUGCUAAAGGCCAACGUGGCCACAAGAGAAAAGUAGUACCAGAUCCUGAGGAGUUACAAACUCCAGCACAACAUGUGGUGUUUGACGCAAAUAUAGAAAGUGAACCAAGAUCUAAACCAAUCUGGUUCUCAUUGCAAGCUUAUCCAUGGUGAGAUUCUGUUCCUUUGGAUUAAAACAUGAAGUGAUUUUGAUAUUUUUUUCUCAGUCCAUAUAUGUCAAGCUUUACAAUCUAGUAAGUCGAUGGUUGUAGGGAAGGAUAUGCACCCUUGCCACAGAUACCUUCGUCUUACUUGAGAGUCAAGUAAGUUCCAUUGACUUUAAUCUCUGUCUGAUAUUGAAGUGUUAAGAGGCUUCACAUUUUGCUUUUGAUAAAUGCCUUAUUCAUUGAACACUGUUUCUAUUAACUUGUCAUUAAAUUUAGAAUGCUGAAAUCUGUUUGCAUCAGUCCCUAAACUUCUGUUUGCAUCAUUCCCUAAACUUUUGAACAUCAUUCCCUUUUGUUGCUGCAGUGGUUAUUGAAGAUCUUCUUGUCGGGUUAGCAAAUUGAUAGCGACCGAAACCGGGCGUUUCAAUUAAAACCCUUUUGUGUCAAUUGUAGUAUAUAGCAAAUAAGGGUAUCGUUAUAAAAGCCGGGGAUUGAGGGUACCUUUACAAUUACGUUAAUUACAAAAUAAGAGAAAACAGAAGAUAAUAGUACUAGAGAUAUGAGAUUUUGUGAUUAUAAACAAGAGAACACAAAGAAACAAAAUAAAGCAGAAAAUAUUAGAUGGAUGAGACGUUAGAGACUUGGAAAUCCACCACCAAGUAUGUUUCAAGAUAAGUUAACAACCAAAGCUUCAAUUAUUAAGUCACAAAUUGGUAUCAAUCAAGAACAAACCGUAAACGCACUGCGUAAGUCCUUAUUACUUCCCUUGAAUACUUAAGUAAGAUGAACGCACCAUUACUAAGCCUUUAGAAUAACCGAUCAAUGUAUAGUUCCUUGAAUACUUAAGUAAGAUGAACGCACUAUUACUAAGCCUUUAGAAUAACCGAUCAAGGUAUAGACGCUAUCCUAUCAACAAAUUAUUCUAAGCAUUAAGAUCAAUGAAAAUGAUUGAACAAGUAUGCAAAACAAGUGUGGAACGCCUACCUAGCAUGCAAUCCUUUUUAUUUGGUUUCACUUAUUGUCCUAUAGGUUUUACUACUUUGAACUAAGCCGUAUUAACCGUUUAGGAGAUUAAACAACCUAAUUCUAGCCCCACUCACAAGUUCAUAAUGUUCUAUGUUGCGCAUACAUGAACAUAAACAAGCAAGAGUUCUCCAUAAACCAAAACCAAAUAAACAAUUUGAAAGACUUAAUAAUUUGAAACCAAGGUUCAAAACAAUAUUUAAAACAUUCUUGGGGCUUCAAACCUUGCCCCUAACUAAGAGAAUUCAGCCACACAUGGCUGCAAAAUCACACAAGGAAAAUAAAAGAUGACAAAGGAAAGGUAAACCGUGGAUGAUGGAGAGAUCAAUGAUGGCUUGGCGGCUUCCUUGUGCGAGUCCGUUAACUGUGGAGGUUCUGAUGAUGUGAGAUCGCUGGCCUCCUCUCUUCUUCACGUCCUCUCUCUCCUGCUGUGAUUAGGGUUAUAAAACCCUUAAAACUCGUCCAUGGGUUUGCCAAUGUGGUCUGGGCCUCAAAAUAGAAGUUUUGGUCCAAAUCAGAAAUUCGGGCAGACUGACCUUCGGCCACUUAAACGGUCAUAACUUCUUCUCCAAAAUAGGUAUUGACGAUCUGUAAAAGGUUCUGGAAAGUAGACUCUUGUAGCUUUCCAUUGAUAUAUGGUACAUCUCCUGGAUCGUUGUGAACUGAUCACAAUCUUCUGUCGAAGUUGACUGACGAUUUCUGAAAGAUUUUUUGAUUUCUUUCCUUGCAUGAGAUGAAUUCCUUUUCCUUCAAGAUUUCUCCUCUUUUGUCUCUUUUGGGCUCCUUGGCUUUAUUUAUGACCUAAAAACAUAAACUUAGUUAAUAUGAAUAUUGUUAAGGGAAUUAUAUAGCUAAAUAGGGUCGGAAAUACAUUAUAAACGUAACACUUUGUGCUCCUAUCACAAAUAUGUAUUGCUUUCCACUUUACUUCUUGGCAAAAAAAAAAUGCAUUUUCCUGCCCUUUGAUCAUAAAGACAUAUACAAUUUUAUUCUAAAAAAAGAGUGCAAAAUUAAAAUUGUUGUGUCUGAGCUCAUCAGAUAAAAUUUAAACACUUGGGAUCAGUUUUUGUAUUUUAUUUUGUCUGGGGGCAAAUGUUCUUGCUUUUCCCUGUUCGUCGAUCUUUCAUUGUGGAAACCCCUGGCUUUCAUACUAGUUUAUUUAAGUUCAUUGAGUAUAUAUGAGCAGGGUUCUAUGGUCAGUGUGUUUACUUGUUUUUCUUGGAUUUUUGUUGCGUGCUAAGAAUUCCAAUAAGACAAUGCCAAGUGGUGAUCAACCCGAAAAUGCUCUCUUUAAAUAUUCUGGAAAAUUUGCAGUGUUUACUGUAAUUUCUUUGUUUAGUCUGAUUCCUAAUCACACAUGAAUUUGAAUUUGUUUUUUCAAAUGUCUCAGAGAUGGUAACUUACCCAGUUCUUUCAUAAAAAAGUAUCUGGUGAGAAAGCUGCAUCUUCAGAGCGAGGCAGAGGUAAAAUCAUCUGCUUUCCCUUUUCAAAUUAGUAAAGAUGCAUGUGUAACCCUUCUGUUUAUGAUAGUUAAAUGCAUGGAGGUUCCAUUUAGAUUAGUUACAUCUUAAGCUGACCUGAUUCUUUGAUGCCAAAACUUUUUACUUGGAACUACAUUUAUUGUUUUACCACCAAUGACUUCAGAAGUUGGAUCAUAUGUGGAAAAGUACUACCUUCUUUGAGAUUUUAAAGACGGAUAAGGAGUCAAGGACAUAUACUUGAGACAACAGAAUUCUGAGCUGUUGUUUCUGAUAGAAAUUUCUGAAAGGACAUUUUUGUAGUCAAAACCAAGUGUGUUGAUUUGUUUUAUCAAUGUUGCUCCACAUUUCAAUUGUCCACAUUUCAUUUUGUCUUUUGAGUUGGCCGGACUUGACAACGCAAAGUUAUCUCAGCACAAAGUUUCUUUCACUUCAUUUCCAACGCAGGUGGAGAUUCUAAUGUGGGGUCGGCCGAUACAUCCCACAUUGUUGUUGCAUGACUUGGUGGAUUUGUGGUUACAGAAAAUAUCAGCAUCAAAUAUAAUACAGUCCACAGUAGGCAGCUCGGCAAAGGAGUGUGUGAUGGUUAUAACCUACUGUCGAAAAGUGCUACACCGCUGGUAGAAUUGUUUAAGCGACCUGCAUGAAUGCACUGCUGUUGAAUGUGAUCGAAGUCCUGGCAGUUUCAGCCACCUUCACCGUACAUCAUGCAGUUAGAUUUAGAGUUCCAUUUCUUUUUUCUUUUCAUCCCUGCAAGCAUAAAUGGUUUGCUGCCUUCAAGAAAAAAAAUAAUGCUUUGCUUGCAGUGUGGUGUGUCCGGCACUACAUGGAACUGUUUCGUGGAAAAAUCAGAAAUUAUGAAAGGUUCAACUUAUGUCCGCAGUGUUGGUAAUAGUAGAUUUUGCACAGGAUGGAGCGUUUCUGUCUUGUUAAUAACCUCACUAUAUACGGAAUAACUAAGAAACAGGUUAGAGAAUAACCUGAAUAGAAAGUUGAACGCAAGCCUGAAUUUUCUUGAUAGUUUAAAAUCAAAAGAUAAGCGUGUGCUAGUUAUGAAUACAAUUUGGACGGUUAUAGUUUCAGUACAACUUGGAGGGUUCAGUUCAAGUGCAAUUUACAACUGAUGGAGCUUUUCUGUAAUGUUCAUUUCUAACCUCAAUAGAUAUGCAAAUAACUAGGCAACAGGUCAUGCGAUAACCUCAAGAGAGAGGAUGCUGUAUGCAAGCCUGAAUUUUCCAUAUAGUCUAACCUCAUUUACACAAACUGAUACUUUUUAUCAAAUUUCUAUGAAAAAUCAGAUGGCAUACUCACCGUUGAGAGUUAGCACUGCAGAAAUGACUACUACAAAAUUGCAGUUACAAUGUGUCUUGUUUGGUCAACAUUUACCAUGAGAACAAUGGUAUAUACAAGUUCUCUGCCAAAAGCACCAAGAACAUGAUUGAAUAGGCGAACAAUUUUGAAAAACAAUUAUGCUGAUGUUUACACAAUCACAGACUCCAGAAAGAAGAAGCUAACAUCAGUACUGGCUGAAAGUUUAUCUGCAUCGAACCCUGGUAAAUGAUGAAAUGCUGCCAUCUGCAAUGCAUACAGGGAGAAGCUACAUAAGAACCCAUGUUAGAGGGUAUAAUACCUUGAACGAAUGAUAGGAACAUCUAAUUGGGAGUACCAGAGAUAGUAUUUAACAACUUCAGAAAAGCCACAAAGGAUGGCCAAAGAAUAACAGAGGCACCAUAAACUAAAGCAAACGAAAUGAUACAAGACCAUUUUAGUAUAGACUAAAAAACUUUAGUAUAACAGAGAUACCAUUUAACAACUCGGAAAAAGCCACAAUGGAUGUUUGACAAGAUGGCAUUUUCAAGGAAUUUCACACUUUCACCAAUUAAGGGUAUGCAAGCACAUAUCCCUACACAUGUAAUUUCAGGUAAUCACCAGUAAUGAUGCCUUUGUUAUUAAUCAAGUCCGAACAUUCAAAGUAGAUGUGUAUGCUACCAAAUGUCACAUAAGCCAUCCAUACAUAAACAGAAAAAUGCAUACCAUAGAUGUAAAAAGCACCCAACUUGAUUCAAUCCCUGAUCAAGUCCUGAGUCAUAUGUGUGUUUGUGUUCAUUUUGCAUAAAACAUUGGCAUUGAUAAAUCAUUUUCAAGUGAAGAUGGCAGUGCAAUGUUACUCACACUGGCCAACAGAUAGCAUAGACUAAUGCCAAAGAAAUGAUACAAGAUCACAUGGAAUCAAUCAAAUGGAAGAAACACCAAGUUCAGAUAUGUAUGCGACAAUAUGAUAAAUCAAAAUCUUACUAAAACGGUAGAAAUAAAACAUUAAAUUCUGUUAGUUUCUAAUUAACGAGUAUCACAAGAAUUACCAAUAUCUGAAAUUAUUUGGCACUUGCAGCAAUAUGGUCUGAUGGUGAAGCCAAGUACUAACUUUGGCUACAACCGUCUUCCACAGCUACACUUAUUUUAGUCCACCGAAACGAUGCCUAGAAAACAGGUAAUGCUACAGGAAGAAUUUAAUGCUUGACAACUAACACACUUCAUUUUGAAUAACUUGGAGCUUAAGAUAAGUAAAAGACAAAAGACAAUGUAGCUAAGAUUCAAAAAACCAACAAGACACAAAAACACACCAAACGAUCCAUCCGAACUUGCUUCCUUUAAAUAAAGCUAUAAACCAUGUAAUAGGCAGCGAAAAAAAUCUUAAGAACUGGUAACAAUUCUAGAAUCAUUGCUCACUUGAACCUAAAAUGCUUUAUAUAUGGACAUAUACUAAACAAAGCUCCAACUUAUUCGAUACAACAAUCAUAAAACUCCCAGUUCUCUACACAAUUCCUAUCACAGCAAUCCACAUUGUGCUAACAAUUCCAAUCACAAAGACUCAAACUUUUCGCAGAUUCAUCGAAAACCCAGAAACAAAAACGCAAAACUCACCUCAUCAAACAUCAAAGACCAAAACGACCAUCACAUAAUGGUGUAGUUCCCACGCGGGUCAGGAUCAUCCGAAAGCAGUGCCCCAUAAGGCGACUCCUUAUCCUCCAUCACAAGAUCCUCCGUGCCCCUAAACACCGCAUGAACACAAACCACCACCGCCCCCACCACCCCCGAAACGACGACGUUCAGCCACACGUUUGUCAGCACCAGCGCCACCACAGUCACCAAUCCCAGCACAGCCAUCACGACCCGGUCCCCGACAACAAACCCGAAGACCGAAACGUCGUCGUCGCGGGAGAAGUAGAAGAAGACCCAGGCGGCGAAGACGAGGAGGAAGACGAUGAGGGAGACAGGGUGGUAGAGGAGGCUGAGGAAGAGGACGACCAAGACGAGCAUGGCGUAGUUUGACCGGAAAUGGGUCGAGUUCUGGAAGAGCCGGGUCGUCGCGUCGGAGAAGUUUUGAGGGAGGCUGAGGGCGGAGAGGUCGGAGAAUUCGGACCAGGGGCGGUGGGCGGCCAUCGCUGAUUGGCCGGCUUCUUUGAAACGGGUCACGAUUCCGGUGGACAUUGUUGUAAAGAUUGGAUUUUUGGGGUAAAGAUUGGAUUUUGAGAAGAAAUUGGAGAUGGGUUUUCUUUGGUUUCUAUGUCAGAGGUGAUUGUGAACUCCGAGUUGACCUCCGAUGGGGAGCUUUGACGGGUUUGGACUGUGUAUUAUAGUAUGAUUGGGCUGGAAAAGCAUAGGUGGUAUAGUUGGGUCUAGACAUGGAGGAAACUGGCCCAGUGGGCUUUUAAAGGUUAGAUGAAGUGGUGGUGGUUAUGUGGAGAAGAAGGGUGAGGAGGAUUGUCACACGAUGAUAGUUGCAGAGAGUGACGCAAAGAAAGGGGAGGCCGAUCUGGAUGUAUGGGAGUAGUGAAGCAAUAGGGGAAAAACUAGCUAGGGUAGAGGCGAUUUAUGUUGCCGAUAUACGUGGUUUUUCGUGACAUUGCAAGGGAGGUGCGACAUGGUGAGUGUAAAACCGAAGCUCGACCAGAGAAUAGUGUGUAAAAAAAAAAUAAAAAAAUCAACAAAUACGGAUAGUACUGUAUGACAUUUUAUGUGCUCGACACUUUGGUAUCUCACAUGCAUUGAUAAACAUAUUCAUCAUUCAUACCUCGAGUUUUAGGGGGGUGUAUUGUAUUUGGAUUCAUACAGACUUAUUUUAAUCAACUGACUUUUUGAAAAGUCUACAGACUCUUUGAAAAGUUCAUAGACUUUCACUGAUUUCUUAAAACCAUUGAUUUUUAAUCACGUACUUUCACUGAUUUCUGAAAUCUACAGAGAUUUCGUAUGAAUGACUUUUGUAGAUUUCUCAAUACUUAUAGAAUUNNNNNNNNNNNNNNNNNNNNAUGAGUUAUUAAUUCCAUAAGUAUGAAUGAUAUUUUGAAUACAUCUGAACUUCUAUUCAUUUUAAAAAGUCUUAAUUGAAUACCCUUGAACUUUGGUGGAAUUCAUAAUGAUUUUUUAAAAUUAAGUUGAAUACACCCAGACUUUGAUUGAUUUUUAAAAGUCUAUAUUAAAUACACCUAAACUUUCAAAUUUCAUAGACUUCUUUAAAACUUCCAUUAAUUCUAUAUACAAUACACCCCCCUUAGUAAAUAUAGAUUACUUUCAUUUUUCAUACCAUAAUCUUUGGUCUGUACAUUAUUACGAAAUCACUAGAUAAAAGAUUUGUGUGUCAAAAUAAUUCAAGGAGCUCUUAUCAUCUUCUCCACAAAAAAUGAGGACCCCUGCUUUCUUGUGACACUCAUAGCUAGGUCGAAUUGUGGCUCGAUUGAUAGAUUAUUGUAUCGCUCAUUAGUAUAUACCUUGACACUGUGAAUUGUGCAUGGGAAUGACCAGAGGAAAAGAGACGAGUACCGUACAAAUUUCUUGUUGCUUUAUCACGCUGGUUAUGUAAAACCACAACCGUAUAUGAUAACAUAUUGGGUUCUACAUGCAGAUAAUGAGUAAAAGCGACGAGUGCCAUAUAAUUAUCACACUGUUGAUGCAAAACCACAAUAAUCUAUGUAUGCAUAUCACUACUAGAAGUUAGGACUUAUGUGACGAAAUGGUUUCGUCGCUUAAGAGUGAAAUUUCGUCGCAUAAGUAUUUAAGCGACGAAAAUUUCGUCGCUUAAGAGUCGUCGCAUAGGUGGUGUCGCAUAGGUAUCUAAACGACGAAACAUGUAUUUUCGUCGCUUAGGUUCCUCUUAAGCGACGAAUUACAUUUCGUCGCUAAACUACUUAAGCGACGAACAAAUAUUUCGUCGCAUAAGUGCCUCCUAAGCGACGAAAAAAAUUCGUCACAUAGACUUAUGCGACGAAACGUUUCUAACUUAAGCGACAAAAUAUUUCGUCACUNNNNNNNNNNNNNNNNNNNNGGGGUGGUGGUGGUUUAGAAGAAGAAGAACCGGAGGAGGGUGGUGGUGGUUUAGAAGAAGAAGAAGAAGUGUGGUGGUGAAGAAGACGAAGAAGAAGGAAGAAGAAGAAAAGUGGAGGGAAAGUUUUGGCAGAAUGAUUCAAAAUUCCAAAUUUUUGGCGGAAAUGACCUAUAUGUGACGAAAUAAAAAAUUUCGUCGCAUGAGUGAAAAAUUCAAAUUUUUUGGCAUAAGUGAGGACUUAUGCUACAAAAUAAAAAUUCGUCGCAUAAGUUUUCACUUAAGAGAGGAAACCAGUUUCGUCUCAUAAGUGCUCACUUAAAAGACGAAAAAUAAUUUCGUCUCUUAAGUUGUUACUUAAGCGACAAAUUUGAAAAAUUUCGUCUCUUAAGCCUUUUUUCCUAGUAGUGUAUAGAAUUUACUAUAUAUCUAUUUGUUGGUCACUGUUCAUCUACAAUAAAAAAAAAAUUUGGCUUGGGCCUUUUUUUUUUUUUUUGCUGAAAAAAAAAAAGUAGAUUGGGUUUCGCAGUUCGCACAUUAUCUAAAAAGGACCCUCUGAAAUUUGCUUUGUUCUAUCUCCGAUGAAAAGAGUAGAUUAGGAAAAGAGUGAAAGAAAGAAUCAAGAAGAAAGAACAUAAGAGAUAUAUUUUUACUACUAUGAUAAGUACUUUGUUGUUAAGUAUUUCAAAUUGAAUUAAAAUUGAAAUACUAAUGCUACUAAUGCUUAUUGUUGAUGGUUCUUGGGUGCUUCCUGAUCUACUUCAACUUCACUUUCCAGCUUUAUGUAAUAAAAUUGAGCAGGUCCCUCUUGCUACUAAUGCUUCGAUGGAGGACACUCUUAUUUGGAUGCCUUCGUCUACAGGAGAUUUGACUGCAAAGAAUGCUUACCAAUUUUUACGGCAUCCAUUUCCCUCCAUGCCUUGGGGUAAGUCCUUAUGGUCUAGAUUUAUUAUUCCUAGAAUGUCUCUACAUGCUUGGAAGGUUUUGAAAGGGAGAGUAAUUUGUGAUGAGCUUAUACAACGUCGAGGAGUGGCUUGGGUUUCAAGAUGUGAGCUUUGUGGUGCAUGUACUGAGUCCCUGCAACAUAUUUUCUUGCAUUGUCCCUUUACAGCUGCUAUAUGGUCUUAUUUCUUAUCUCUUUUUGAUCUGGGGGCUACUCCUCAUACAAUUGUGAAUUUAUUUCAUAAAGGUCUGAGUAUGGGACAUAGCUCACAGCUUAAGGAGCUUUGGUUGAUCUGUUUUACUUCGAUUUUAUGGUUUGUAUGGCAUGCGAGAAAUAAGACCAGAUUUGACGGUAAGUCGUUCUCUGUGGCUUUGUCAUCUCAUUUUGGGGCACAUUAGAGCGGCUAGUCGACUUGCAAAUGGUCCAAUGCAUAAUUCAGUUCAGGAUUUAUGAUUAAUAAAGAGUUUUGGUGCAGAGUGUCGAUUGGGAAGAGCUCCAAGAGUUAUUGAGGUUGUUUGGCAUCCUCCAGUCAUUGGGUGGGUGAAGAUUAAUUCGGAUGGAGCUUGAAAGCAUGCAGAGGGUGUUGGAGGUUUUGGUGCUGUUUUUCGUGACUUUAAAGGUCAUGUUCUUGGUGCUUUUUCUUCCAACAUUGACAUUCCUAGUUCAGUAGCAGCAGAGGUGAUGGCAGUUAUAGUUGCUAUUGAGCUUGCUUGGGUAUGAGACUGGAAACACAUUUGGUUAGAGGUUGACUCGUCACUUGUGUUAGACUAUCUACGGUCUCCUUUGCUUGUAUCUUGGCAUCUACGUGUCCGUUGGCUUAAUUGUGUACAUUGCAUAUCGAAGAUGACCUUUCGAUCUUCUCAUAUUUUUCGUGAAGGGAAUAAGGUUGCAGAUGCUCUGGCUAAUCACAGUACGUCGUUAACACAACUGGUUUGGUGGGAUUCACCUCCUCCUUUUAUUUUGUCAUAUUGUAGUAGUGACCUUAUGGGUCUUCCCCAAUUUCAGUUUUCAUAGUUUUGUUUCGUUAUUAUUUCGUUAUGAGAGGUUUUGGUCUAAUCCCCUCUCUUGAUGUUUCUUUUUUUUUCUUUUUAAUACAUAAGAGUGUUAGGGGGUCAUUCCUCUCUCACUCAUCUUUCAGCCAAAAAAAAAAUUGAAUUUAUAUAAAUCUUGCACUUUGAUACAUUAGAAAUGAGAAUAAAAAAUAAAAAAAUUAUGAACACAAAUCUCGCAAAUCCUACAGCAAAGCGCGGGUCAUAAUUGUAGUAUAGUCAUAUGUAUGAAUAUUGAGAUUGUGGGUUUAGGUAUACGUCGUUACGUCUUGAUUUUUUUUUUUUUUUUUUUUUUUUUUUUUUAUAAGAUACGUAAACAUUUUAUUAAAGCAGACUUAGGUACAAGAUAACAUUCAAUUACAACGAAUUCAAUAACAACGAACCAACCACGAACUGGAAAUAAGCUCAUAUCCAGCAAUCAACUACUAUCUCCUAAACUCACAUGUAUACGACAUAUACAGAGACGAGGACCAUACAAUUUUUGAGGUGAUGAAAUGGUUUUUAAGCUAUUUAAUUAUUAUGGUUCACCGACUAUCUCAAUAUUAUUCACAUACGUACCUAUUCAUUCAUUCCUCACUUUGAAACGAAAUAAUGAAUCAGUAAUCAAUGAAACUUGUCUUCUGCACUUUAUUGCUAGCUAGGUAAACACAAAAUAUUACAUGACGUCCCGAGUCCGGCAUGCGCAGUACGUCGCCGUUGUAGGGUAGGGGAUGAGGGCCGGGAUUGUAUGAAUUAUAUUACUCCCACCACCAGCUCAUAUAUAGGCCAUGAAUCAUAAAUAGUCUAUAACAAAUAAUCUAGUCCUGCAUUCAUAUAUACCAGAGACCGAGUAUCAGAAGUCUCAUGCAUGCAUGUUUUUUUUAUCGAAGAAAAUAUCAAUGUUUGCAUCAGUGUGUGAGUAAUUUUAUGUCUGAUACCCACGAUAUAGGAAUCAAUGAAAGAAAGGAGCCACAGAACAGGGAAGGCAGGGGUGUACAUCGUACGUACCUACUAUAUAUAAACAGCUUUCAGAUUAGAAAGAAGGACGAGGGAAUUCGAAGUCAGAAACUCAGAAUCAGAUUUGAGGGGCAUGCAUGCACUACCUUCUGUAGGCAAGAGAUGCAACAUGAUCAGCUGCGCUAUUCGUCUGUAUUUCUGCUGGACCAAAUCCAGCUAAUUAACUUGCCAGACUAAAAUUUAUAGAGGCUAGUAAAAAAAUAAAAAAUAAAAUACAACUUACACCAUGGAAAUCAAAAUUAUUUCUUUGGCUAUCUCAAAUUAGUUAUUUUGGACCAGUAGAAUAAAAUUAGUUAAUACUAUUUUUGCUAUCAUAUAUAUAAUCUCUCUUAAUUAUUUUUUCCAUCCGUGUUCACAGAUUAUUUUUUUUUUUUUCAAACACGAAGAACGUGUAAGUGUGUAACAUGCGGGAGGAGGAGCUAGAUUGUGUAACACACGUACAAUGACAAACGAAUCAAACUUGUUUCUAUUCAUACGUGUUCACUGCAGUAGUACUGCUAACAAGCCCAAAAACCAUUAGUUUGUCUCUCGUACGUUUUGAAGCUAGCUUCAGAUCUAGAUCUUGAAUCCCGACAUAUGCAUGCAAAUUUGUCGUUCGAUCAGUGAGCAAUUAUUAUCUCUCAAUUAAGUAGCGAGGUGGGAAAUGCAUGAACACUACCAGAUCGACCGAGGACCAGUAUAUUCAUUCUGUAAACACAUGCAGUAGUUCGCAUCUGCGAUAUAUAUGCAGUGCGCAUAAUUUAGAUUUUUAACUGCAUGAUCAUAUAUAUAAUUUCACCUAGCUUAAUUAGCCUGGCAUUGGGCCUUUUCUACCAUACGUACGUUAAAUAUGAUCCAUUAUUAUUAUAGUAAACUACAUAUUAGUUACUAACCAAAUAUCAAUUGACAAAAAGAUCCAUUAAGCAUAUUACUAAACAAAUAAGGACAAACAUUUACAAAUAAGGACAAACUGUUAUAUUGUUGCCAUGUGGCAUUGCACAUUUACAAUUUUGUCUUUAAUUAAAACAUAUUUCCUUGCUACUGUCUCCGAUUAGAAAUCUGCUACUACUGCCUCCGACUGGAAAUUUGCUGCUACUGUUGCCGACCAGAAAUCUGCUGCUACUGCCACCGACUAGAAAUCUACUGCUACUGAACCGAUCGAAAAAUUUCCUGCUACUGCACCAAUCGUUUACAAAUAUUCUGCUACUGUGAACUGAAGAAGCUACUACUGUCGAACCAAACAAAGUUUCUAUGUCGCGAUUGGAAGCCUUCUGCUACUAUAUAUCAUGAUUGGAGGUCUUCUGCUACUGACCACUGAAUAGUUACUGCUACUAUGAAAUGUGCAGUAGCAUGACUCGUACUCGUCCACACCUAUCUAAAAUCAACGACAAUCAAAUUGAAAUUGUGUGAACAAGAAUCAACUCACCUUCCCCCUCACCAUCCUCACCGUUGAGUCCACCCAGGGAAUUGAUUCGAAAUCGGAUUGGAAAAGAAACGAAGCAGUAGCAGCAUGACUAGCUAGAACCUCUUCUGAUGCAACCCUCUCUCUCCCUUCUGAACCACCAUCCUUAACACUGAGCCCGAACCCCGCUUCACCUCCAUCAAGGCGUUCGCCCCUGCCACCGUGGCGGCCCAGGUUUGCCUUCCUUGGAUGCGCCAUCAAUGGCCUCGGCGACUUCGUCUCCCUCACCGUCGACCUCCAAGUCCUCCCCAGUGAGAUCGAGAUCUCCUUUAGAACUUCACCGAGAUCGCCGCCAUCUCCCUCUNNNNNNNNNNNNNNNNNNNNGAGAGAGAGAGAGAGAGAGAGAGAGGUUGAAUCGGGAUGGAUGAAGAUGCAUACUAGUUUCAAAAAUUUAUGUAGCAAUUUUUGUAAUUUUGUUGUAAAAUAGGGUAUUUUGGUCAUUAAUUAUGAAAAAUCGGAUCAGGCUAGGUAUUAUUGUUAUUGGGCCUCAUGCUUAUGUCUUAAUUUGUCUAAAUAUUAUUAAAAAUGGAUUUUUUGUGUUUUUUAAUUUGGUCAUGUGCUACUAUGUAAUUUUAUCUUAUUAUUAACAAAAAGAAAAUGUGUAGAUAUGAUGAUUUUUUUUAUUUUUCUCCCCAAAAGAUUACAUAUUUUUGUCUUCUACCAACUGAUAUUUAUGCUAGAAAACAGUAGUGUCGACGUUCGUCCAAAUCAAAUAGAGAGCGUUAAGGACACGCAUGGAUCCAAACCACAUAUAUAAGAAGCUCAGAAAUAGGGUGGAUUUCUGGAUACAUACCAAAGAAGGAAUAGGAAGAUAGUAUUAUUUGUCCAAAAGAAAAAGGAGGC
rnacentral:lncRNA from 1 species